rnacentral:rRNA from 1 species
CUUGUACCGACUGGAUGAGCAGCGAACGGGUGAGUAACGCGUGGGGAAUCUGCCUUUGAGCGGGGGACAACAUUUGGAAACGAAUGCUAAUACCGCAUAAAAACUUUAAACACAAGUUUUAAGUUUGAAAGAUGCAAUUGCAUCACUCAAAGAUGAUCCCGCGUUGUAUUAGCUAGUUGGUGAGGUAAAGGCUCACCAAGGCGAUGAUACAUAGCCGACCUGAGAGGGUGAUCGGCCACAUUGGGACUGAGACACGGCCCAAACUCCUACGGGAGGCAGCAGUAGGGAAUCUUCGGCAAUGGACGAAAGUCUGACCGAGCAACGCCGCGUGAGUGAAGAAGGUUUUCGGAUCGUAAAACUCUGUUGGUAGAGAAGAACGUUGGUGAGAGUGGAAAGCUCAUCAAGUGACGGUAACUACCCAGAAAGGGACGGCUAACUACGUGCCAGCAGCCGCGGUAAUACGUAGGUCCCGAGCGUUGUCCGGAUUUAUUGGGCGUAAAGCGAGCGCAGGUGGUUUAUUAAGUCUGGUGUAAAAGGCAGUGGCUCAACCAUUGUAUGCAUUGGAAACUGGUAGACUUGAGUGCAGGAGAGGAGAGUGGAAUUCCAUGGGUA